UCACCAGACUCCUACGGGAGGCAGCAGUGGGGAAUAUUGCACAAUGGGGGAAACCCUGAUGCAGCAACGCCGCGUGAGUGAAGAAGUAUUUCGGUAUGUAAAGCUCUAUCAGCAGGGAAGAAGAGAGACGGUACCUGACUAAGAAGCCCCGGCUAACUACGUGCCAGCAGCCGCGGUAAUACGUAGGGGGCAAGCGUUAUCCGGAAUUACUGGGUGUAAAGGGCGUGUAGGCGGGCAUGCAAGCCAGAAGUGAAAUCUGGGGGCUUAACCCCCAAACUGCUUUUGGAACUGCGUGUCUUGAGUGAUGGAGAGGCAGGCGGAAUUCCCAGUGUAGCGGUGAAAUGCGUAGAUAUUGGGAGGAACACCAGUGGCGAAGGCGGCCUGCUGGACAUUAACUGACGCUGAGGCGCGAAAGCGUGGGGAGCAAACAGGAUUAGAUACCCCUGUAUA
rnacentral:rRNA from 1 species